rnacentral:tRNA from 1 species
GGCAAUGUAACUCAGUGGUGAAGCACUUGCCUAACAUGCAUGAGGUCCUAGGUUCAAUCCCCAGUAUUGCAA